AUUGAACGCUGGCGGAAUGCUUUACACAUGCAAGUCGAACGGUAGAGGGGGCAACCCCUCGAGAGUGGCGAACGGGUGAGUAAUAUAUCGGAACGUGCCCAGUCGUGGGGGAUGACGUAGCGAAAGUUACGCUAAUACCGCAUACGAUCUAAGGAGGAAAGCGGGGGAUCGCAAGACAUGGCGCGAUUGGAUCGGGCGAUAUCAGAUUUGGUAGUUGGUGGGGUAAAGGCUCACCAAGCCAACGAUCUGUAGCUGGUCUGAGAGGACGACCAGCCACACUGGAACUGAGACACGGUCCAGACUCCUACGGGAGGCAGCAGUGGGGAAUUUUGGACAAUGGACGCAAGUCUGAUCCAGCCAUUCCGCGUGCAGGAUGAAGGCCCUCGGGUUGUAAACUGCUUUUGUACGGAACGAAAAGGUCUCUCUUAAUACGGGGGACUCAUGACGGUACCGUAAGAAUAAGCACCGGCUAACUACGUGCCAGCAGCCGCCGUAAGAC
rnacentral:rRNA from 1 species